AAGCUGUGGAAGCACAUUUCUUGUGUGACCGCGUACUUUUUGUAGAACGGGCCAACGAGUUACGUUAAGUAGCAAGGUUAAGCACUUAAGGUGCGGAGCCGUAGCGAAAGCGAGUUUUAACUGAGCGUUCAGUUAUUUGACGUAGACCCGAAACCGGGCGACCUACCCAUGAGCAGGAUGAAGCGAAAGUAAAAUUUCGUGGAGGUCCGAACCCACGAGCGUUGAAAAGCUCGG
rnacentral:rRNA from 1 species